GUCCUGGCCGUAAACGGUGAACACUAGGUGUUGGAGGCAUCGACCCCUCCAGUGCCGCAGCUAACGCAUUAAGUGUUCCGCCUGGGGAGUACGACCGCAAGGUUGAAACUCAAAGGAAUUGACGGGGCCCGCACAAGCGGUGGAGCAUGUGGUUUAAUUCGACGCAACGCGAAAGAACCUUAACCGGGGUUUGACAUGCACGGGACAGGUGUGGAAACACACCCUCCCUUCGGGGUCCGUGCACAGGUGCUGCAUGGCUGUCGU
rnacentral:rRNA from 1 species